UUAUUUAGAAGGACAAAAAGGUUUUUAUUAUUGCGGCAAUUGUACAUGAUGUAGACUGAGGAAAAAUCCAAGUAGAAGUAUUAAAGAAUUCACAUCAAGUAGAAAUCCAGAUGAAGAGUACAAGAUUCAUACAUUAAUAACGUGCAAUACGAUCAAUGUAAUAUAUCUUUUAACCUGCCCAUGUGGUUACCAAUAAGGUCAGAAUAGGCAAACAUAUUAAUAACAGAAAGAAAAAAUUCUUGAACCAUAGUGUUUCUAAACAUUUUGCAGAACAACAAGGGGGUAACCCAGAAGGCCUUCGGUUUUUAGCUAUAGACAAUAUAAAAGUACACUGGAGGGGAGGGUGUAAAGAUAAUAUUUUAAGUUGAGCAGAAAUGAGGUGGAUGUUUAACCUCAACACCCUUA